rnacentral:lncRNA from 1 species
AGAUGGAGGAGGUGGUGACUUGUAAAUAUAUGGAGGAGGAGGAGGGAGAUGGAGGUGGUGAGACUUAUAACAAUAUGGGGGGGUGGUGAAGGAGAUGGUGGAGGAGGAGACUUGUAAACAUAUGGAGGCGGUGUGAUGAGGUGUGGUGGACUCUUAUAGAUAUAUGGUGGGGGAGGUGAAGGAGAUGGAGGAGGUGGUGACUUGUAGAUAUAUGGAGGUGGAGGUGAAGGGAUGGAGUGUGGUGAGUUGUAAACUAUGUGGAGGAGAGGAGAUGGAGUGAGAGACUUGUAGAAAUAAGGUGGUGGUGUGAUGGAGAUGGUGGAGGGAGAUUUGUAGUAAUAUGGAGGAAAUUUGUCGACAUAAGGAGAUGAUGGGGGUGGAGAUUGUAGUAAUAGUGGUUGUCGUCCUGAUUUGGAGGUGUUGGAUAGUAAGGCUUAUCAUCAUCCGCAACAACAGUGCUAGCAAUUAAGCAUACGCAAUUGCAUAGAAGAGUUGAGGCCAAUGCCUCAACCCAAGUGAGCUUCCCAUUCUGUAAGUUAUGUAUUUUUGUAAUCAAUUUUUUGGAAGAAUGUUGCUAGUUACUGUGAUUGUUUAAGUUUGUAUUGUAACUCUUUAUUUAUAGUGUUUGCCCAAUCAUAGAUUAUAGAUUUCUGAAUAUUUCAAAUACAUGGCUUAAUGAUUUAAGUU